rnacentral:rRNA from 1 species
UACGUAGGAGGCAAGCGUUGUCCGGAGUUACUGGGCGUAAAGAGCGCGCAGGCGGUCGUGCAAGUCGCGUGUGAAAGCCCCCCGGCUCAACUGGGGAGGGUCACGCGAUACUGCUCGACUCGAAGGCAGGAGAGGGAAGUGGAAUUCCCGGUGUAGUGGUGAAAUGCGUAGAUAUCGGGAGGAACACCAGUGGCGAAGGCGACUUCCUGGCCUGUUCUUGACGCUGAGGCGCGAAAGCUAGGGUAGCAAACGGG